rnacentral:rRNA from 1 species
GACGAACGCUGGCGGCGUGCCUAAUACAUGCAAGUCGAACGCAGUGGGUACGGGUGAGUAACACUUGGGUAACCUCCCCAUCAGAGGGGAUAACACUUGGUAAUAGGUGCUAAAUUGAUACUGCUGGAUGGACCUGCGGUGUAUUAGCUAGUUGGUCGGGUAACGGCUCACAAAGGCCACGAUGCAUAGCCGACCUGAGAGGGGGAUCGGCCACACUGGGACGGAGACACGGCCCAGACUCCUACGGGAGGCAGCAGUAGGGAAUCUUCGGCAAUGGACGAAAGUCUGACCGAGCAACGCCGCGUGAGUGAAGAAGGUUUUCGGAUCGUAAAACUCUGUUGUUAGAGAAGCGGUAUCUAACCAGAAAGCCACGGCUAACUACGUGCCAGCAGCCGCGGUAAUAC